rnacentral:rRNA from 1 species
AGAGUUUGAUCCUGGCUCAGAACGAACGUUGGCGGCGUGGUUGAGGCAUGCAAGUCGCACGAGAACGGGGUAGCAAUACUCCUAGUAAAGUGGCGGAAGGGUGAGGAAUGGGUAGAUAACGUACCCUUGAGAUGGGCAUAACGGCUCGAAAGAGCCGCUAAUUCCCGAUGAGACCACAGGUGGGCAUCCACUAGAGGUCAAAGGCUGGGGAUCUUCGGACCUAGCGCUCAUGGAUCGGUCUACUCCCUACCAGCUAGUUGGUGAGGUAAUGGCUCACCAAGGCUGCGACGGGUACCCGGGCUGAGAGGCUGAUCGGGCACAUCGGCACUGAGACACUGGCCGGACACCUACGGGUGGCUGCAGUUCGGAAUAUUCGGCAAUGGACGAAAGUCUGACCGAGCGACGCCGCGUGCGGGAUGAAGGCCCUUUGGGUUGUAAACCGCUGUCACAGGUGAGCAAAUCAUAUUUAGUGAACAACUAAGUGUGUUGAGUUAAGCUUGAGAGGAAGCCCCCGCUAAUCACGUGCCAGCAGCGGCGGUAAUACGUGAGGGGCGAACGUUGUUCGGUGUCACUGGGCUUAAAGGGUGCGUAGGUGGUUUCGUAAGUAAGGUGUGAAAGCCCUCGGCUUACCCGGGGAAUUGCGCCUUAUACUGCGUGACUUGAGGAUUUCGGGGAAAGGGGAACUCCAGGUGUAGCGGUGAAAUGCGCAGAUAUCUGGGGGAAGGCCGGCGGCGAAGGCGCCUUUCUGGGAAAUUCCUGACACUGAGGCACGAAAGCGUGGGGAGCAAACAGGAUUAGAUACCCNNGUAGUCC